rfam:Loxodonta africana unplaced genomic scaffold scaffold_11, whole genome shotgun sequence.
CCAAAGGCUCUUUUCAGAGCCGCCCAUUGUGUCAACGAAAGAAGCU